AGGGAAAGGCGAAAAGAACCCCGGCGAGGGGAGUGAAAAAGAACCUGAAACCGUGUACGUACAAGCAGUGGGAGCCUCUUAAUGGGGUGACUGCGUACCUUUUGUAUAAUGGGUCAGCGACUUAUAUUCUGUAGCAAGGUUAACCGAAUAGGGGAGCCGAAGGGAAACCGAGUCUUAACUGGGCGUUAAGUUGCAGGGUAUAGACCCGAAACCCGGUGAUCUAGCCAUGGGCAGGUUGAAGGUUGGGUAACACUAACUGGAGGACCGAACCGACUAAUGUUGAAAAAUUAGCGGAUGACUUGUGGCUGGGGGUGAAAGGCCAAUCAAACCGGGAGAUAGCUGGUUCUCCCCGAAAGCUAUUUAGGUAGCGCCUCGUGAAUUCAUCUCCGGGGGUAGAGCACUGUUUCGGCAAGGGGGUCAUCCCGACUUACCAACCCGAUGCAAACUGCGAAUACCGGAGAAUGUUAUCACGGGAGACACACGGCGGGUGCUAACGUCCGUCGUGAAGAGGGAAACAACCCAGACCGCCAGCUAAGGUCCCAAAGUCAUGGUUAAGUGGGAAACGAUGUGGGAAGGCCCAGACAGCCAGGAUGUUGGCUUAGAAGCAGCCAUCAUUUAAAGAAAGCGUAAUAGCUCACUGGUCGAGUCGGCCUGCGCGGAAGAUGUAACGGGGCUAAACCAUGCACCGAAGCUGCGGCAGCGACGCUUAUG
rnacentral:rRNA from 1 species